rnacentral:rRNA from 1 species
UGUCCCAGCCGCCGCGGUAAUACAGAGGGUGCAAGCGUUAAUCGGAUUUACUGGGCGUAAAGCGCGCGUAGGCGGCUAAUUAAGUCAAAUGUGAAAUCCCCGAGCUUAACUUGGGAAUUGCAUUCGAUACUGGUUAGCUAGAGUGUGGGAGAGGAUGGUAGAAUUCCAGGUGUAGCGGUGAAAUGCGUAGAGAUCUGGAGGAAUACCGAUGGCGAAGGCAGCCAUCUGGCCUAACACUGACGCUGAGGUGCGAAAGCAUGGGGAGCAAACAGGAUUAGAUACCCUGGUAGUCCAUGCCGUAAACGAUGUCUACUAGCCGUUGGGGCCUUUGAGGCUUUAGUGGCGCAGCUAACGCGAUAAGUAGACCGCCUGGGGAGUACGGUCGCAAGACUAAAACUCAAAUGAAUUGACGGGGGCCCGCACAAGCGGUGGAGCAUGUGGUUUAAUUCGAUGCAACGCGAAGAACCUUACCUGGCCUUGACAUAGUAAGAACUUUCCAGAGAUGGAUUGGUGCCUUCGGGAACUUACAUACAGGUGCUGCAUGGCUGUCGUCAGCUCGUGUCGUGAGAUGUUGGGUUAAGUCCCGCAACGAGCGCAACCCUUUUCCUUAUUUGCCAGCGAGUAAUGUCGGGAACUUUAAGGAUACUGCCAGUGACAAACUGGAGGAAGGCGGGGACGACGUCAAGUCAUCAUGGCCCUUACGGCCAGGGCUACACACGUGCUACAAUGGUCGGUACAAUGGGUUGCUACCUAGCGAUAGGAUGCUAAUCUCAAAAAGCCGAUCGUAGUCCGGAUUGGAGUCUGCAACUCGACUCCAUGAAGUCGGAAUCGCUAGUAAUCGCGGAUCAGAAUGCCGCGGUGAAUACGUUCCCGGGCCUUGUACACACCGCCCGUCACACCAUGGGAGUUUGUUGCACCAGAAGUAGCUAGCCUAACUGCAAAGAG